rnacentral:misc_RNA from 1 species
AUUUUGGCAGUUGGUUUUGAAGGUCAUGCAACUGAAGGAAUACCAAGAAACUGAAUUAUUAUGCUACCAGAAUACCAAGCCAGUAGUCGAAGGCAAGAUGUUGAAAGCAUCGGACAUAGUGGAACCACUCUAUUGGAGAAAGAACACUCUCCAAUUGAUGCCUCAACCCUCUCUAUGUCACCUAUAUGUCCAGCACCUCUUUGCCGCCAGUUUUGGA